UAUUUUAUAGUGAUAUUGUGUUGUUAUUUUCAGGAAUGGAAACCAAUCACAGAAUCCAAAUAGCUCAACCUUUGAGAUCACCAUCCCUCAUAUGUAUUUGAUCCAUGUGUAUGGGGAGAACGACAGCAACCUGAAUCAAAUUCAACAGGAAUGGAAACCAAUCACAGAAUCCAAAUAGCUCAACCUUUGAGAUCACCAUCCCUCAUAUGUAUUUGAUCCAUGUGUAUGGGGAGAACAACAGCAACCUGAAUCAAAUACAACAGAUCUCUGGUGCAAACGUGGUUGUUCAUGAUCCAAAACCUGGUGCUACAUAAGGGCUGGUGAUU